rnacentral:lncRNA from 1 species
UAAAUUAAUACGUCACUUGCCCCUUAAGACUUUGUUGUGUCAAUCUUAUCAUCAGCCCUUAUGGUUUGUAUUGAAAAACGUAUUGGUUUAGUCAUGGGAUAACAUCGAUCAUAAUGUAAGAUGAAAAAAAUCUCAUAGAGAUUGUGGAGCCCAGCACUCUAUUAUUAGCCAGGCCCCAGAGAAGUCAAGAUACUUGCGUUGCAACUGGAUAUUCUGUAGAAAUCACAUCAUAAAUCUGGGCCAUACUGAUUUUGACGCAGGACUCUAUUUACUCUUAUCCUAUGUUUAGGAAGUUUCAAAUUAUAAACUCAUUGAUUGAAGUUUCAUAUAGAGAAGAACUGAUAAUCUUCAUUGUAUGUUCAGGUGAGAGCUUUCGAGAGGCACUGUGGAUCGCUGUCUCAGUACGGUAUCAAGCACAUGAGGUCCUUUGCAAACAUUUGCAACGCAGGGAUCCGAACUGAGCAAAUGGAGGAGGCAGCUUCACAGGCUUGUACCUCAAUCCCACCUGGUCCUUGGAGCUCGCUUCACCGUGGAUUCAGUGCAUAGAAACCCUAAACCCUCUUCGCAUUUGUUUAUACUACCAAAUCCCCAAAUAUUCCUAUUUCCAUUUGUAAUGAUUAAAUCAUUAUUCUCCCUGUAUAUCUCACUAUCAUUUCCCCGCUGCAGUGUAUAAUAUGUAUUUGCUAUGUACAAAUGCUUGUAGAAACUAAAGUUGAAUGUAUAUUACAUGUAAAUUUGGGAGUUGUCAAUCUUAUGGAUGGUUCUUUUUUUAUAGCAGAAACAGCAGAAGAAGAUAGUAAAAGAGAAUUUUAUUAGAACUUGAGAAAUGAUCAUCUCAUGGUUUUUACAUUAUCAUUACUGGGCAUUCUCCCAUCUCAUCAUACUCUGUGAAUUCCUCCCCGCUGGACAAAUCAAUAUCAUCAAAUUUGGUUGGUUUUCACGUAAUUGAAAAUUAACAUUUAAAUUUAAAUCUUCUUUUAAAUAAAUAUUUUUUACACUUCAAAAUUUUAGAUAAGCUCAAAAUAUUUUAUUUUAAAUACCGGAAACUAAAAUUGAAACGUUUUUAAUUAAAAAGAAAAUCUUAAAAUAAAUGUUAAAUUUUAAUUAUGUGUAAACAGAUUGAAACUUAACACCUUUAACCGACCUAAAGAGAUUCUAACCGGAUGUUAAGUUUGGUUGGUUUUCAACGUAAUUAAAAAAUUAACACUAAAAAUUUAAAUCUUCUUUUUAAAAAAUAUUUUUUAUACUUAAAAACUUAGUUAUAAAACCGGAAAUUAAAGUUGAAAACGCUUUUAAUUAAAAAAAAAUCUAAAAAGUAAAUGUUAAAUUUUAAUUACGUGUAAACAAGUUGAGCUUAACACCUCUAACCGACUUAAAGAGAUACUAACCGGAUGUUAAGUUCGGUUGGUUUCAACGUAAUUAAAAAAUUAACACUUAAAAUUUAAAUUUUCUUUUUAAAAAAUAUUUUUUAUACUUAAAAACUUAGUUAUAAAACCGGAAAUUAAAGUUGAAAACGCUUUUAAUUAAAAAAAAAAUCUAAAAAGUAAAUGUUAAAUUUUAAUUACGUGUAAACAAGUUGAGCUUAACACCUCUAACCGACCUAAAGAGAUACUAACCGGAUGUUAAGUUCGGUUGGUUUCAACGUAAUUAAAAAAUUAACACUUAAAAUUUAAAUUUUCUUUUUAAAAAAUAUUUUCUAUACUUAAAAACUUAGUUAUAAAACCGGAAAUUAAAGUUGAAAACGCUUUUAAUUAAAAAACAAAUCUAAAAAGUAAAUGUUAAAUUUUAAUUACGUGUAAACAAAUUGAGCUUAACACCUCUAACCGACCUAAAGAGAUACUAACCGGAUGUUAAGUUCGGUUGGUUUCAACGUAAUUAAAAAAUUAACACUUAAAAUUUAAAUUUUCUUUUUAAAACAUAUUUUUUAUACUUAAAAACUUAGUUAUAAAACCGGAUAGUAAAGUUGAAAACGUUUUUAAUUAGAAAAAUAUCUAAAAAGUAAAUGUUAAAAUUUUAAUUACGUGUAAACAUGUUGAACUUAACACCUCUAACCGACCUAAAGAGAUACUAACCGGAUGUUAAGUUCGGUUGGUUUUCAAUGUAAUUAAAAAAUUAACACUUAAAAUUUAAAUAUUUUUUUUAAAAAAUCUUUUUUAUACUUAAUAUUUUAAAUAAGUUCAAAAAUAUUUAUUUAAAAAAUUAUUUCCCAUAAAACCCUUAAAAUUUAGCUAAUGUAAAUUUUUAUUUACAAUCAUUAUUAAUAAAAUUAAAAAAAAAAAGAAAAAAAAAAAAAGAAGAGAAAAUUGAGAAAGCAACAAACCUGAAUACGGUGGUGACUCAUCCUCCGGCGACUCCGUCCAAGCAUCGAAACUCAAACCUGCCACAUGCUCUUCGCUUUCACUGUCCCUCUUUUCCCGCUUUCUUCCUCGCCGUCAGAUAUAACCCACAGGUGAAAGUGUUUCGGUGGAAUUAAGGAUUGACUAUAGAAGUAGUCACGUGAUAUCGAAUGCACAACAGAGUAUAGAGAUCAAUCUACGAAACGAGACGAUCAAUCUUACGGAUAGGUUCUGAUCAGAUGGGCAACGAUAUCCGUUGAGAUCGUCUUCUCAAGGAACAAACCAAGUUUUUCAGAUGAAUUUGUUGCAGAGAUUGGUUAUACAUGGAUCAUCGGUUUCACGAGAUUGGCGAUCAAACAUUGGCAAAGUUUGUUCGACACGUAUCAAAAAGAAAAAGAAGAAAGAUUAUUAAGGAGAAUGAAUGAUUUUGGUUUAUAAGAGAGACGAGUAUUUAUAAGGAAAGGUUCUUCAAAAAAACAAAGGAAAUUUUCGCUUGUUUCCUUUUUAUUUAAAGAGUU